UUUUUUUUAAAUAUUGAUGUUGUUGCUUUUGUGUUUUGGU
rnacentral:antisense_RNA from 1 species